rnacentral:tRNA from 1 species
GUGAUUAGCUCAGCUGGGAGAGCAUCUGCCUUACAAGCAGAGGGUCGGCGGUUCGAUCCCGUCAUCACNNCCA